GCGGCGAUAGCUCAGUGGGUGAGUAGAUGGAGAUUACUCCGAAUUAUCCGCGCGGGUUCGAAUCCCGCCUGUGGCA